rnacentral:rRNA from 1 species
UGGGGAAUUUUGGACAAUGGGGGCAACCCUGAUCCAGCAAUGCCGCGUGUGUGAAGAAGGCCUUCGGGUUGUAAAGCACUUUUGUCCGGGAAGAAAUCGCACCUGAUAAUACCGGGUGUGGAUGACGGUACCGGAAGAAUAAGGACCGGCUAACUACGUGCCAGCAGCCGCGGUAAUACGUAGGGUCCAAGCGUUAAUCGGAAUUACUGGGCGUAAAGCGUGCGCAGGCGGUUGUGCAAGACCGAUGUGAAAUCCCCGGGCUUAACCUGGGAAUUGCAUUGGUGACUGCACGGCUAGAGUGUGUCAGAGGGGGGUAGAAUUCCACGUGUAGCAGUGAAAUGCGUAGAGAUGUGGAGGAAUACCGAUGGCGAAGGCAGCCCCCUGGGAUAACACUGACGCUCAUGCACGGAAGCGUGGGGAGCAAACAGG